GUAACUUUCAAAGAGCGUCUAUUGAAACUAAGCUGCAAAAAACAUCUCUGAUCUUCCGGUCACAUUCUUUGCGGUCUUCAGGAUAUUCAAGACGGAAGAAAGAAAGAAAUACAACAAUAAAAUGGCGAGUAAAUUACAGUUUGGUGACUUUUCCCUUUAUUUAAGAACAAAAUAGGUAUUUUUUGAAUAGAAAUGCUGAUUCAAAUGUUAAGUAAUUAGAAAAAACAAUGAAAAAGCAUACUUGCUCAUAUACCUCAGCUCUCCUGACAUCUCUCUAUUUUCUUUGUUUGUGCUCUCUCUUAUAUUACUGCCGACUAUCAUUUGCAAAGUGUUGUCUGGCAUUUGUGCUUUUCUCUAUUGGCUUUGCAUGCUUGGCUAGCUGCGCUUGAACCUCUCAGCAGAAGAGACCUAGGCCUUUUUUAAUAAGGUCCCUCAUGAGAAAUCUUCCUCAUCUGAGCAGGAGCAUGUCUAGAGGGCAGUUAAAGAAGAGAAAUAGAAGAGGUAACAGAAAUAAAAAGAUGAGGAGACACAGACAGAAAGGAGGAGAGACUGAUGAGGGAAGGGGAAGAACGUGAUGCGUGAUCGAGUUUGUGCAGUCUGCCUCUAUGAGAGGUGAGAGCUGCUCUAUCAGGGGACAGGAAAAGGCAUUCAGAGUGUGACAUGUUUGUCACGGUGGGCGACAUUGGCAUCUGUCACGCAACCUUUGGCAACACUUGCAAUAACCCUCUCCGUUCCAGAGAGUACGAGACAAAAAGAGACUUUGAAAAUGAGAGAGAUUUGCAGAGUGCUGCAGCGGAAGCACGGAAGCCGCGGUGCUCACGGGGAGACAGGACAAAAGAAUCCAAAUGAUCCGUUUCCUUCCUAAUUCAUGGAAAUGGAGAGGGGGAGGAGGGCUCCUGUCAGGAGGGAGACGUGGAGCGCUGGUCAGUAUAUCAGGGAGUUUUAAUUAACAGCUCAGUGAUGAGGAUUGAAACAGCCCUCAUGCCGUUUACCACUCUACGGGACCGGAUCAAACCAAACCCACCGCGGAGGGGUUGAUUUGCUCCACUCAGCCAUCUAUAAAAGACUGGCACUGAAAUCAGCAGCAUUUGCAUAUGAGGGUGGUGUAUGAAGCUGUGUUUGCCUGCGGCAGAUCCCCCUGGCAGUCUCUGAGAGCUGCCAUCUUCUUCUGCCAGCCCUCCAUUAGGCCUGUAAGGUGUGUCAGUCAGCUCUCGUACACAGGGGCUUAUGGGAAGACUGCGGGGAAGUGAGGAGCGAACGGCCUUCUGGACAUGUCUCUGUCUUCACUGAGAGACUGGCAGUAGCAUAAAAGGAGAAGCUGUCGUGCAGUUCUUGAUGGCUGUACACUAAUUGCUGACCCUAACAGGUCCAAUUAGAAGCUACACGCGCCCCGCGCAGGCCCAGGGGACUACACAUCCCAGCAUGCCGAGCACUGACACUUUCAGAGUGACAUGAACAAGACAGCAACCAGACGGAACGAAAAGGAAAAUUCAGAGGGAAUGAGAAUAAUAAAUGCAAAUUAUGAAUCCGUUUACCAAACACCGGAAGUUCACAGUCUCCGAGGCACCAGAUUACGCCAUUGAUCCGAACCCAAAAUGGCUCCAUGUCUGGCAUUUUCAGAGGCCGUUUCCAAUUCAAUGUCAUCCUCUCUGCCUCAAACUAAAAGAGACAAAUACGACUGGAAUAAGGUAAAGAUGGAGUGGUUGCCUUGCUGUUGUGCUGGUAUCAGACAUGGGCUCUUCAUCAGAUGACUAAUGGAGUUGUGCAGCUAACCAGGAGGCCCAAGGCUGUUUGUUAGCUCCUAACAAGAAUAAGCCUAGCUGUGCGGGCGCCGGGUCCGGAACGAGCACUUAAGAAGCAGGCUAAAAGUUUCGCGCACGGCUCAUCCCUCUACCGCUUGUAUGCUUUAUUGACCUUGAUGGCAGCCCAAGUGGGACACUCUUCCCCAGAACCGUCUGGCCUCCACAAACCAUACUCUGAAUAAUUUACAGCAGCAAGGCCUUGACAUCCACAGGAUCCAAUUAGUUGAAAUCCACAUGCAAUCAGUCCACAGGAAAAAGGCACAACAGGGACAUCUCCAGAGAGACGAGACACUAUUAGCAAGUUUCUAAAAUACAGAGAGGUGCACUGCGUAAAGAGAAGAGCAAAUGCACCGCUGCUUUGACAGAACAUGGAAUCCUUGAAAUCAGAUCAGUGAACGAAGAAUGUGAUACUCGUAUACAAAUACCUCAGUUACUCAAACAAACCUCUGAUAAGGUUCUACUGUGCUUUAAAUAGCAACAGCUAUUAGAUAUAGUCCAUGAUACUGCAGUUUAGUGUUAUAUAUAGCACUACUAUGGUGUAGUACUGUAUCGCGUGUGAUCCAGUACGGACAUUUGCCUGAGGCUUUGUAAAAUGUAAUUUUUAAGUAAUCAGUUUUAAGUGCCCUCAAAAAUAAAUUAAAGCGCUGAGUGUUUGUCUUAGCUGAAGUUUAAACUUUCCAUAAAUCAAGUGAAGAACUGCACAGCUUGUUAAUGUUUUCCUUCAAACCAAAGACUGUAACUAUGACUGACUUUCUUCUGCUCAAAACAAAAGAUAAUCUGAAGGAAUUUUUGUCAGCUUUAAUUUUCGGGUGAGGCAUCGCUUUAAGAACAAACUGCAUGAAAAACGAUAUCAUCGAUCGCUAAUCUAAACAUUGUGUUUAGUUACGGUGGUUACAGCCCUAAGACUAAUAAUGAAGCAUAACAACUGAGUAAACAACUGAAACAGAACUAGCAAGUCAAGUUUACAUAGCAGAACCUGUUCUAGAUAUUUUACUAAAUGAAUCUACGAACCACAAUCGAAAACUUCUUAUGUGGAACUGUAGUUAAAAUUCCCCAGACCUUUAUCAGUCAGAAUGAGUUUGCAUUACGAGCUCAAGAGAAAAAGUUCAGUUCUGUUUAAGGGUGGGGUCGCCACAACUGUUUGUGUGGUUUCCAGCCAAUGGCAACAAUGGCUUAUUUCUAUAAUCUCAAAUGGAACAUUUGUUAGACAUUGUGUGAUUAUGCACUACCAAAUAAAAUACAAUAAAGGUCUUUGGAUUGGUUCUUGGUGUAGUAUAAUGAGGUUUGGUCUAGUGUGGCAUUGGAUGAUGUACUGUGGUUUGGAUUAGUAUUAUGUUCUAAUUGUAUAACAUGAUCUGGUUUAACCAGGUUUGGUUUGGUAUGAUCUAGUCUAAUGUGGCCUUUCAUGGUAUCAUAUGAUGAGUCUUUUUAGCAUUGCUAUAGUCUGAAAAGGUCAGGUCUUGGUUUAAUAUGGUUGGUUAUGGUUGCUGCAAUGAGGUAAAGCCACAAAACGGAGCAGCUCACCCAAAAUGAAGAGUUGUACUAAUUACAUGUUAAAAACAGUAAAAGGUCACACUGUAAAUACCAUUUUUUUAAUAUAUAUUUAUGUCAUUUAUCUUUGUAAUGUCACGUGAUUCUUCAGGUAUUAUUCAAAUAUUCUGAUUUGCUGCUAAAGAAGUUUUUUUUUUAUUUUGAGGACAUUUUUUCAAGUUUGAUUGUUGACUAGAAUGUAAAGCGUUUAUUUGUAAUAUGCAAUAUGCCCUAACUGUAACUUUUGAUCAAUUUAACUCAUAACCGCUUAAUAAAAAUUCUAAUAAAUCCCACUGACUGCAAACCUGUCAUUUACUCAAAAUAGUAUUUCUAUCCACCAACACGGGAUCGAUUUAUGAAGAAAAUCUGGC